rnacentral:rRNA from 1 species
UACGUAGGGUGCGAGCGUUGUCCGGAAUUAUUGGGCGUAAAGAGCUCGUAGGCGGCUUAGCAAGUCGGGUGUAAAACCUCCAGGCUUAACCUGGAGAGGCCACCCGAUACUGCUAUGGCUAGAGUCCGGUAGGGGACCACGGAAUUCCUGGUGUAGCGGUGAAAUGCGCAGAUAUCAGGAGGAACACCGGUGGCGAAGGCGGUGGUCUGGGCCGGUACUGACGCUGAGGAGCGAAAGCGUGGGGAGCGAACAGG